rnacentral:rRNA from 1 species
GAUGAACGCUGGCGGCGUGCCUAAUACAUGCAAGUCGAGCGAACGGACGAGAAGCUUGCUUCUCUGAUGUUAGCGGCGGACGGGUGAGUAACACGUGGAUAACCUACCUAUAAGACUGGGAUAACUUCGGGAAACCGGAGCUAAUACCGGAUAAUAUUAUGAACCGCAUGGUUCAAAAGUGAAAGACGGUCUUGCUGUCACUUAUAGAUGGAUCCGCGCUGCAUUAGCUAGUUGGUAAGGUAACGGCUUACCAAGGCAACGAUGCAUAGCCGACCUGAGAGGGUGAUCGGCCACACUGGAACUGAGACACGGUCCAGACUCCUACGGGAGGCAGCAGUAGGGAAUCUUCCGCAAUGGGCGAAAGCCUGACGGAGCAACGCCGCGUGAGUGAUGAAGGUCUUCGGAUCGUAAAACUCUGUUAUUAGGGAAGAACAUAUGUGUAAGUAACUGUGCAUAUCUUGACGGUACCUAAUCAGAAAGCCACGGCUAACUACGUG